rnacentral:lncRNA from 1 species
CGACUUCGGAAUGAACAGUUGGACCAGAUUCCCAGACAAUCUGUGUAAACAUUACAACCAGGCAAGGCACUGAUCUACGGAGCUUUACAAUUACUCUAUACCUUGGGAGAGCAAUCUUCACAGUGCACACCUGGGAGACAGAUGACCUUAAGCAUCGUAUCUUGCAACUGUUAGAAGAAAUACCUCCAGAGAAACUCUUCAACCUCACUGGAAGGGUCCUUUUUCAGGAACUGGUAACCAACCCUUGUGCUGCCGAACUCCAGGGUAGAGACUCUUGAAAUCACAAAACACCUCUAAAGAAAGCACCUAAUCCUGACUGAACCCGCACGCCUUCUGGUGUCCUGAAAGCAAAGAUUUACCAGAACUGAAGCAGAUGACAUCUGACAAGACCCUUCCCCAAGAUGUUCAGAC